AGUGGCGAACGGGUGAGUAAUGUAUCGGAACGUACCUUUCAGUGGGGGAUAACGUAGCGAAAGUUACGCUAAUACCGCAUAUUCUGUGAGCAGGAAAGCAGGGGAUCGAAAGACCUUGCGCUGAUUGAGCGGCCGAUAUCAGAUUAGCUAGUUGGUGGGGUAAAGGCCUACCAAGGCGACGAUCUGUAGCGGGUCUGAGAGGAUGAUCCGCCACACUGGAACUGAGACACGGUCCAGACCCCUACGGGAGGCAGCAGUGGGGAAUUUUGGACAAUGGGGGCAACCCUGAUCCAGCCAUGCCGCGUGAGUGAAGAAGGCCUUCGGGUUGUAAAGCUCUUUCGGCCGGGAAGAAAUCGCAUAGGCUAAUACCCUGUGUGGAUGACGGUACCGGAAUAAGAAGCACCGGCUAACUACGUGCCAGCAGCCGCGGUAAUACGUAGGGUGCGAGCGUUAAUCGGAAUUACUGGGCGUAAAGCGUGCGCAGGCGGUUUCGUAAGACAGAGGUGAAAUCCCCGGGCUCAACCUGGGAACUGCCUUUGUGACUGCGAGGCUAGAGUACGGCAGAGGGGGGGUGGAAUUCCACGUGUAGCAGUGAAAUGCGUAGAGAUGUGGAGGAACACCGAUGGCGAACGCAGCCCCCUGGGCCGAUACUGACGCUCAUGCACGAAAGCGUGG
rnacentral:rRNA from 1 species